CUUCUGCACUGCAGCGCGAACUGGUUUCCUUGAGUACGUAGGAAGUUGGCGGAAUUCGUGGUGUAGCGGUGAAAUGCUUAGAUAUCACGAAGAACUCCGAUUGCGAAGGCAGCAUACGGCAGCGCUACUGACGCUGAAGCUCGAAAGCGCGGGUAUCGAA
rnacentral:rRNA from 1 species